rnacentral:rRNA from 1 species
CUUUACUGCAACUUGACGUUGGAACUUGGCUGUAUUUGUGUAGGAUAGGUGGGAGACUUUGAAGCAGGGCCGCCAGGUCUUGCGGAGUCGUCGUUGAAAUACCACCCUGGUGCUGACGAGUUUCUAACCGUGUCCGUAAGCCGGACAUGAGACAGCGUCUGGUGGGCAGUUUGACUGGGGCGGUCGCCUCCUAAAAGGUAACGGAGGCAUUCAAAGGUCCCCUCAGCGUGGUCGGUAAUCACGCGCAGAGUGCAAACGCAUAAGGGGGCUGAACGGCGAGACCGACAGGUCGAGCAGGUACGAAAGUAGGAGGUAGUGAUCCCGCGGUUUAGCGUGGAAUUGCCGUUGCGCAAUGGAUAAAAGGUA